GACUCUCGCAACGGAUAUCUCGGCUCUCGCAUCGAUGAAGAACGUAGCGAAAUGCGAUACUUGGUGUGAAUUGCAGAAUCCCGUGAACCAUCGAGUCUUUGAACGCAAGUUGCGCCCGAGGCCUCCUGGUCGAGGGCACGUCUGCCUGGGUGUCA
rnacentral:rRNA from 1 species